AAGUCGUAACAAGGUUUCCGUAGGUGAACCUGCGGAAGGAUCAUUAUUGAAUAAACUUGGUGGAUUGUUGCUGGCUCUUUCAUGAGCAAGUGCACGUCUGUCAUUUUUAUCUUUCCAAUAUGUGCACUAUGCAUAGAUCUGAGUAUUUAUUUGACCAAAGUCAUCUUUGGUUUUUUGGAAAUUGCUAUUGCAAUAAUGGCUUUUUCUGUAUUCAGAUUCUAUGAAUUUUAUAUACUCCAAUGUAUGUUUAUGAAUGCUAUUGAAGGGCUUUUAUAGCCUAUUAAAUUUAUACAACUUUCAGCAACGGAUCUCUUGGCUCUC
rnacentral:misc_RNA from 1 species